AUUGAACGCUGGCGGCAGGCCUAACACAUGCAAGUCGAGCGGGGUUUUCGGACCUAGCGGCGGACGGGUGAGUAAUGCGUAGGAAGCUACCCGAUAGAGGGGGAUACCAGUUGGAAACGACUGUUAAUACCGCAUAAUGUCUACGGACCAAAGUGUGGGACCUUCGGGCCACAUGCUAUCGGAUGCGCCUACGUGGGAUUAGCUAGUUGGUGAGGUAAUGGCUAACCAAGGCGACGAUCUCUAGCGGGUUUGAGAGGAUGAUCAGCCACACUGGAACUGGGACACGGUCCAGACUCCUACGGGAGGCAGCAGUGGGGAAUAUUGUACAAUGGGCGCAGGCCUGAUCCAGCCAUGCCGCGUGUGUGAAGAAGGCCUUCGGGUUGUAAAGCACUUUCAGCGAGGGGGAAGGGUUGUGUGUUAAUAGUACACAGCCUUGACGUUACUCGCAGAAGAAGCACCGGCUAACUCUGUGCCAGCCGCCGCCGUAACAC
rnacentral:rRNA from 1 species